rnacentral:rRNA from 1 species
UACGUAGGGUGCGAGCGUUGUCCGGAAUUAUUGGGCGUAAAGAGCUCGUAGGCGGCCUGUCGCGUCGGUUGUGAAAGCCUCGGGCUUAACCCGAGAAGUGCAUCCGAAACUGGCCGGCUUGAGUACGGAAGAGGGGCGCGGAAUUCCCGGUGUAGAGGUGAAAUUCGUAGAUAUCGGGAGGAACACCAGUGGCGAAGGCGGAGCCCUGGGCCGAUACUGACGCUGAGAUGCGAAAGCGUGGGGAGCAAACAGG